rnacentral:rRNA from 1 species
AUUGAACGCUAGCGGGAUGCCUUACACAUGCAAGUCGAACGGAGUGGCGAACGGGUGAGUAAUGUAUCGGAACGUGCCCAGUAGCGGGGGAUAAAUACGCGAAAGCGUAGCCAAUACCGCAUACUUUUGGAGCGGCUGAUAUUGGAUUAGCUAGUUGGUGGGGUAACGGCUUACCAAGGCGACGAUCCGUAGCUGGUUCGAGAGCGCGACCAGCAACACUGGGACUGAGACAUGGCCCAGACUCCUACGGGAGGCAGCAGUGGGGAAUUUUGGACAAUGGGGGAAACCCUGAUCCAGCCAUCCCGCGUGUGCGAUGAAGGCCUUCGGGUUGUAAAGCACUUUUGGCAGGAAAGCGGUACCUGCAGAAUAAGCACCGGCUAACUACGUGCCAGCAGCCGCGGUAAUAC